rnacentral:RNase_P_RNA from 1 species
CACAUGAGGCAGCCGCUGGCACAUUCGUGUUAGAGGAAAGUCCAUGCUCGCACGAUCUGCGAUGAUCGUAGUGUUUGUGCUGGUCCAAUCAAUAAGGCCAGGCAUCUAGCAAUAGAUGACGGCGGAGCGGAAGCCUAAAGAGCAAUCCAUGGCGGAUGCCUGCAAAGUGUCACAGUGACGGAGCCUGUUAGGAAACUAGCAGGGUGGAACGAGAUAAACCCCACAAGCGAGAAACCCAAAUUUGGUAGGGGAACUGCCAGCGUGCGAAAGGAAGCACAAGGCGGGUACUUCGGUACAGAUAAAUGACUGCCGCUCCGCAAGGAGGACAAAACAUGGCUUAUGACU